rnacentral:rRNA from 1 species
AGCGAACGCUGGCGGCAGGCUUAACACAUGCAAGUCGAGCGCCCGGAGCAAUCCGGGAGCGGCAGACGGGAGAGUAACACGUGGGAACGUACCCUUUGGUUCGGAAUAAUCCAGGGAAACUUGGACUAAUACCGGAUAAGCCCUUACGGGGAAAGGAUUUAUCGCCAGAGGAUCGGCCCGCGUCUGAUUAGCUUGUUGGUGAGGUAACGGCUCACCAAGGCGACGAUCAGUAGCUGGUCUGAGAGGAUGAUCAGCCUCACUGGGACUGAGACACGG